UCAAGCUACAAAGGGCUCACGGUGGAUACCUUGGCACACAGAGGCGAUGAAGGACGUGGUUACCUGCGAAAAGUCUCGGGGAGCUGGAAACACGCUUUGAUCCGGGAAUCUCCGAAUGGGGCAACCCCUAGAACGGCCACCUGAAUCCAUAGGGUGGCGCGAGCCAACCCAGCGAACUGAAACAUCUUAGUAGCUGGAGGAAAGGAAAGUAAAAACGACUCCCUAAGUAGCGGCGAGCGAACGGGGAAGAGCCUAAACCGAUGGUUUCGACCAUCGGGGUUGUGGGACAGCAACGUGGACCAGGGACGUUAGUGGAAGCGUUUGAAAGGCGCGCCAUAGAGGGUGAAAGCCCCGUACGCGAAAACGAAACUGGCCUAGCUGUAUCCCGAGUAGCACGGAGCACGUGAACUUCCGUGUGAAUCUGCGAGGACCACCUCGUAAGGCUAAGUACUCCUGUGUGACCGAUAGCGAAACAGUACCGCGAGGGAAAGGUGAAAAGAACCCCGGGAGGGGAGUGAAAUAGAACAUGAAACCGUGAGCUUACAAGCAAUGGGAGCCCGACUGAUCGGGUGACCGUGUGCCUGUUGAAGAAUGAGCCGGCGACUUAUAGGCACUGGCAGGUUAAACCGGGAAUGGUGGAGCCAUAGCGAAAGCGAGUCUGAAAAGGGCGAAAGUCAGUGUUUAUAGACCCGAACCCGGGUGAUCUAACCAUGGCCAGGAUGAAGCUUGGGUGAUACCAAGUGGAGGUCCGAACCGACUGAUGUUGAAAAAUCAGCGGAUGAGCUGUGGUUAGGGGUGAAAUGCCAAUCGAACCCGGAGCUAGCUGGUUCUCCCCGAAAUACGUUGAGGCGUAGCGUCUGGUGCUCCAAUUGGGGGGUAAAGCCACCGUUUCGGUGCGGGCUGCGAGAGCGGUACCAAAUCGAGACGAACUCUGAAUACCCAAUGUGUAGCCAGGCAGUCAGACUGUGGGGGAUAAGCUCCAUGGUCGAAAGGGAAACAGCCCAGACCGCCAGCUAAGGUCCCCAAAUCAAUGCUCAGUGAUAAAGGAGGUGGGAUUGCCCAGACAACCAGGAGGUUUGCCUAGAAGCAGCCAUCCUCAAAGGAGUGCGUAAUAGCUCACUGGUCGAGCGAUCCUGCGCCGAAAAUGAACGGGGCUAAGCGUUGUACCGAAGCUGCGGAUUUAACUUGUUAAAUGGUAGGGGAGCGUUCCAUGUGGGGCGAAGCGUUAGCGUAAGCGGGCGUGGACUGCAUGGAAGUGAGAAUGUCGGCUUGAGUAGCGAAAACAUGGGUGAGAAUCCCAUGCCCCGAAACCCUAAGGGUUCCUCCGGCAGGCUCGUCCGCGGAGGGUAAGUCAGGACCUAAGGCGAGGCCGAAAGGCGUAGUCGAUGGACAACAGGUCAACAUUCCUGUACCUGUCAUGUUUUGGGAAGGGGGACGGAGAAGGCUAGCCCAGCCAGAAGUUGGUUACUGGUUCAAGCGUUCGAGGCGUUGAGGGACGGCGAAAACGUCCUGAGCUGAGGCGUGAGUACGAGCUGCUACGGCAGCGAAGUGGGUGACGUCAAGCUUCCAAGAAAAGCCCUAUACCCGUUAAGGCAUGACGGCCUGUACCCGAAACCGACACAGGUGGGGUGGUAGAGAAUACCGAGGGGCGCGAGGUAACUCUCUCUAAGGAACUCGGCAAAAUGGCCCCGUAACUUCGGGAGAAGGGGUGCCACCGCAAGGUGGUCGCAGUGAAGAGGCCCAGGCGACUGUUUACCAAAAACACAGGUCUCCGCUAAGUCGCAAGACGAUGUAUGGGGGCUGACGCCUGCCCAGUGCCGGAAGGUUAAGGAAGCUGGUCAGCGCAAGCGAAGCUGGCGACUGAAGCCCCGGUGAACGGCGGCCGUAACUAUAACGGUCCUAAGGUAGCGAAAUUCCUUGUCGGG
rnacentral:rRNA from 1 species